rnacentral:rRNA from 1 species
CCUACGGGUGGCAGCAGUGAGGAAUAUUGGUCAAUGGCCGAGAGGCUGAACCAGCCAAGUCGCGUGAGGGAAGACGGCCCUACGGGUUGUAAACCUCUUUUGUCGGGGAGCAAAGAGAGUCACGUGUGACUCAUUGAGAGUACACGAAGAAAAAGCAUCGGCUAACUCCGUGCCACAAGCCGCGGUAAUACGGAGGAUGCAAGCGUUAUCGGGAUGUAUUGGGUUUAAAGGGUGCGUAGGCGGACGCUUAAGUCAGCGGUAAAAUUGCGGGGCUCAACAUCGUCGAGCCGGUGAAACUGGGUGCCUUGAGUGGGCGAGAGGUACGCGGAAUGCGUGGUGUAGCGGUGAAAUGCAUAGAUAUCACGCAGAACUCCGAUUGCGAAGGCAGCAGACCGGCGCCCAACUGACGCUGAGGCACGAAGGCGUGGGUAUCGAACAGGAUUAGAUACCCUUGUAGUC